UCAGACUCUUAACUGGAAAUAACUGAAAGUGAAUUCUUCUUCACUUACUACGAACCCUGAACCCAAAAGCAAUGCUCUCUCGAUUCAUUUCUCGAUCUUAUACUAAUUCUUCUUCUCAUCUACGUUUUGUUACCCUAAUUUCAUCAUCAUCGAAUCCUAAUUCAUUUAUUUCCACUUCUUCUAAUCCCAUUUCUCAAAACCCUAAUUUAAAUCCCUUCUUCUUUUCUCGAUAUUUCUCCAGUAAUAAUCGAAAUGAUCAAACAGACCCUAAUUUAGUCUCAAAUUUAUGGAAACUUGGUACUGAUGAUAAUAAUGAUGGAGAUGGAGAUUCGUUUUUUAGUAAUAUUAAUGAAUCUUGGGGUAAGGAUUCUUCAGGAACUGGAGGAAAUAAUAAUGAUUUUAUUAGAUCAAAGAAGAAUAAGAAGAAUGUUAGAAGUAGAACUAACAGUAACAGUCUUCAUGAAGAUUCAUUAUUAAGUGGUGGAUUGUUAGAUGAUGAUGAAAAUUCGUGGGGUAAAAAGGAUUCUUCUUCUGAUUUCUUUGGAGAUAUUAUUAAUAAUGAAUAUGAAUCAAACGCAAAGACUAGUAGUACUGGUGGUGGUAAUAACGCUUGGAGUUUUGUUGAAGAUGAAAAAGAUGUGUUUGAUUUGGGAUUAGAAGAAGUGAGGAACCAAGAGCAAUUACAAUUAUUAGAUGAUGGUAAGGAGAUGGAUGAGAAUGAGCAGGCGGCAGCUAAUGCGCUUCUUGAGAUUGAGAAGAAAAAUCUUCUUCAACAAUUGAAUGGACCAGAUCGUGUUUUUGGUGACCUAAUUGCUGCAUCGGGUAGAACUGAAGAAAUGAUAGAAAGUAUGAUUCUUCUGAAGGACUUGAAAGGUGUUGAGGGGUUGCACCCUUUAAGUGAGUUAAAAGAUAUCCCGAAGAAUGAGAAAAGUGCAAGUAAAUCCACAAACGCUGAGAUAGAGCGCAGAAAACAAGAGGAAGUUGCCAAAGCACGAGUGAGGCAGGUUGAUGACAAGGUAAGGGCUUAUGGUACUGGAAGAAGGAAGUGCAGUAUAGCACGUGUCUGGGUCCAACCUGGGGAUGGAAGGUUUAGUAUCAAUGACAAAUCAUUUGACGUUUAUUUUCCUAUUCUUGAUCAUCGUGCGGCUAUCCUUAGACCAUUUUCUGAGACAAAGACCCUGGGCCUCUGGGAUGUCAAAUGUACCGUGCAAGGCGGUGGUCUCUCAGGUCAAGUUGGAGCCAUACAGUUGGGUAUCAGUAGAGCCUUGCAAAACUGGGAGCCUGGUCUACGUCCAUACCUUAAAACUGAGAGUUUCUUGACGAGGGACUCGCGUGUAGUUGAAAGGAAGAAACCAGGAAUGGCAAAGGCAAGAAAGAGCUUCCAAUGGGUUAAGCGAUGACGGCACCUCCACCACCCGACAUAUAUCUUGAUACAAUCAGUUUUGUAUGAAUUAUUCAGAAGUGAUUUUGCUGCAAUAAGAUGGAAUCAUAUCCAUGCUGGGAAUUGGUUUGGAGUUUUGUCCAGCUGUAUUACCGAAUCAAAUCUACACCCAAGUUACCUAUAUGGAUAACAAAAUUGCUAAAGCAUACAAUUGCGGGUUUUAUAUGCUGUUUAUGAUAUUUAAAAACAACUUCAGUAGAACACUGGUUGAUGUUGUUAUUUAUUUAUUUUUGAUCAGCAAAAGCUGCCUAUAUUACAAACCUUGUCAAAAGAGAUUACAUCCGAAAUCUGGUCAGUUACGCUAUAUCUUGGAUUCUUGGGCAAUUCGGAACAGAAUGUUUCUUCUAAUAUAAAAACUUAAAGCCUUUCCAGCCAA